CUGCAUGAUUUUAUUACUAUAAAUAUACAGUAAAAACGAACCAACGAUGAGCCCAUCUGAGCACAUCAGACGGCAGCACAUGGGAGUCCCAGCGGGCCACUCUGCGGCCCGAACUUCACGCAAAGCUCUGGCACCAGGACUGAUGGCCAGAGGCUGGGGCCUUGGUGGGGGCGGGGGGCGGGCGGUGCAGGGGGCUGUGUGUGUUGUUGGGGAGAGGUGCAUGGGGGGAGAGAGGUGCUUGGGGUGGGGUAGAGGUGCGUGGGAGAUGCUCGGUCCGAGUGCACACACAUGCAUGGGAACAUGUGCAGGAGUAUGUGCGUGUGUGUAUGCGUGACAGCAUGUGUGAGCGUGAGUGUGCAUGUGUGAACAUGUGCGUGAGCAUGUGCAAGUGGGCGUGCAUUUGUGUGUGUGUACGUGUGAGCGCAUCUGCGUGCCUGUGCACGAGCGGGAGGGGUGGCUGGCCUGGGUGUGCAGGGAGCUGGGUGUGAGGACCAUGCUGUCCACUGCUGGGUCUCGCCCAGGAGGCGGACCUCAUGCUCGGAGCCACCGUGAGCCUCAGGGAGGGUACUGAGCUGCCCCACAGCCGACCUGUCCCCAGGCCCAGCUGCAGGGCAGCCCUCCAGAGCCAGGUGAGCAGCAGACACCUGCCUGGCCCAGGGCUCCGCAGGGGUGGAUCCAGCCCUGGGUCACCAGGCCCAGGCACUCCCUUUGCCAUCUGCGGCCCAGGAGGUUUACCUUUAAAAAAACAAACAAACAAACAAAAAAAACAGGACGAGGUCGCCCAGAGGCCAAGCCUCCCGGCCGGGACCCCAUUCCCCAGGUGUGCUGCUGGCUUCCUCCUCCCUGGGCCAGUCCUGCCACAGAAGCCUGAGACAGAACAAACCAAAUCAGAGAGAACUGCAAGGGGGCCGGGCGCGGAGGCUCACGCCUGUAAUCUCAGCACUCUGGGAGGCCGAGGCAGGUGGAUGACCUUAGGAGUUUGAGACCAGCCCGGCCAACAUGGUGAAAUCCCUUCUCUACUAAAAAUACAAAAAAAUUAGCCGAGCAUGCUGGUAGGCACCUGUAAUCCCCAGCUACUCAGGAGCCUAAGGCAGGACGAUCACUUGAACCCGGGAGGCGGAGGUUGCAGUGACCCGAGAUUGAGCCACUGCACUCCAGCCUGGGCAGCAAGAGUGAAACUCCAUCUCAAAAAAAAAAAAAAAGAGAAGAGAACUGCAAGGGGACAUUCCAAUGGCAAAAGAGAAUGAGGAGGCCACCAGGUCCUCCCUGGCAGGGGCCUGCCAAACAGAAGCCCCUGCACCUGGAGGGGCCUUGUGAUGUCACCAAAGCCAGCACCAGGAGGAGGUGUGGAGCUUGGUGACAAGGCCACUGAAUGCUGGCUGCUGGAAGCAGCUGUGCCUCCGCCCCUCGGCCAGGCCCAGCACCGGGCUGAGACACUCUAGCUGCCCAGGGCGGCACCCAUGCACCCCAAGGCCCCGAGCACUGAGGGCCCCAGCGCAGACGCACCAGGGAGGGCACUGAGGCCGCGCAAACACGGCAGAGGACAAAAAGCAGCGACAGCCAGGCCGCCACAGUGACACGCAGGGCCUCCUGAGUUCUCCGGGCAGGGACCGCACUGUUGCAGGAGCAGGCAGAGCCAGCGGAGGCCACACGUGGGCAGCCCCAGCCCCAGCCGCUCAGCCCACAGGACCCUGGGGAACGGGGGCUCUGAACUAGGGAUGGAAAGCUGCUGUCCUUCAUCUUGUACCAGUUACAAAUAUAUCAACUGUAGAAAAGGGAGACUCAGAAGGGACAGUUCACUGUGCUCUUUGAUCAAGAGUCACCACGGCCCCUCGGAGCCUGGUGGCCACAGGGGGCAUGCAGACAGGAGGCCGGCUCACAACGGGGUCCGGAGCAGCCCCUCGGCAAAGUCUGGGGAGCCGAGGGCUCCAUGCUGCCAGCUCGGCCAGGCUCUCAGAGUGGGGUCAGCUCGGCGGCGCUGGGAUCGGGGCUGGGGCCACCAAGUGGAGGCCAGGUGGGGCUGGUGGUGGCGAGGCCGUGGGCCGUCUCCAUGGAGGUGGGCCGUCCUGCAGGUGGGAGCAGAGGGAGGAGGGUCACACUCGGAUGCCUGGUGCCACGCCACCCGCUCCUACCGAUCUGGAGCCCCAGAGGGGCUGGGCCAUCCAGCACCCCCACUCCCGCCGCCUGUGGCCACAACAGCAUUCACUCAGAUGUGAGCACACCAAGGGCCCGGGGACUCCCUAACUGUGCCAAAUACGCUGUGUCCCUCUUGGGACAGACGAUCCCAGAUCCCCGGACACCCACAGCAGAUCUGCAGCCCCGAGUCAGAGCGCGACACGGCACCGCGGUGGAUGCCCUCUGGGCCUCCUGCCCUUGCCCUGGUUCCGGUUUCCUGGGAUGUGGCCAGCCACUGUCCUGCCAAGGUUCUUACGGCUGGGUUAGGGUGGAACUCGGUCAACCCAGGGUGCAGGGGUGGGGAGCGGCCCUGGGUGAGAACAAGCCCGUGCUCAGAGUAGCCCCCGGAUGGCUACUGCAAGGCAAAGAGAGGAGCCUCCCACAGAGCCCCAAUGCCCAGACUGUGGCCUGCACGACGCCGCCGGGCGCUGUCCCCAGAUGGGUCUGGCGUCCCUGGGGCUUGGGCAAUGGUGCUGGUGCAGAGCCUGGGACGGGGCCAGCAUGGCCUCAGGGCUGCCUGACACCCAGCCACCAGCCCUGACACAUGGCUCCCAGCAGACACGGCCCAGGCCCCACUCUCCGGUGAAGGGCGUCUAUUUUCUUCGGGGGCCGCGGCGAGAGCAGGUUUCCGAGGCUGUGAGCCCUGUUCUAGAUCACACCUGCACUCCCCAGCUCCGGAAGCUUGACCUGAAUCGUGACAUUCGCACGGCACCUUCCACCGAUGCGCAGGCCGGGGCCGUCUGAAAGGUGCUGACUGUUUCAAUCUAGGGGUAUAAUGGCUCAGGACAGGGGUCAACAGAGGGACUCGCUGGGCUCAAGAAGACAGAGGUUCAUGGGAAUGCAGAGCGCAGUCAAAAGAAGCGAAGUUCUCCCUGACCCGGCUCAAGUCCACCCAAGGGGAAAGGGCCUCUUAGAGCCUGCACCCCCGGCCAGGCACCUCCCAGCAGGCUGCAUGGGCCUCGGCAGACCAGAGCUGCACGCAGCUUGUGUGCCAAGACCCUCUGGGAAGGCAGAGGGUCCCCAAUCCGUCUGCCUACAUUUUGGUGGCACUCCUGGAGCUGCCUUCUCUCUCUCCCCCGUGUGUGUGUGUGUGUGUGUGUGUGUGUGUAUUUUUUUUUUCUUGAGACAGGGUCUCAGGCUGGAGUGGGUGGGUGGGUGUGUGUGUAUUUUUUUUUAUUGAGACAGCGUCUCAGGCUGGAGUGGGCCUUGACCUCCCCAGCUCCGGCAAUCCUCCCACCUCAGCACCCCUGAGUAGCUGGGACCACAGGCACAAGCUACCACGCCCAAGCCAAUUUUUUAUUUUUCAUAGAGAGGGGGUCUAUGUUUUCUACACUGAUCUUGAAUUCCUGGGCUCAAGUGAUCUAUCCCCUCGGUCUCCCAAAGUACCGGGCUUAUAGGUGCGAACCACUGCCUGGACAGAGCCGCCUUCUGUAAAACACUCACCUGGGCCACCCUGGUAGAGGGCGCCUCUUGGGGGGGAUGGGGGAUGCCAACCUCACAGGGCCUCCUAUCUUUUAGUGCUGGUGUUCCAGAAGGUUCCAGUACUGGGAGGGACAGGUGAGUCGGCAGCAGUGGGCUCAUGGCACAAAGGCAGCCCACGAGGGACUGUGUGCCAGGCCCAUGGUGAUGCCAGGCCCACGGUGGCCAUGCUGACAAGGGAAGGAGGGAGCGGGGGAGCAGGUGGCUGUGUGAGCGGACGCCCUCAGGACAGGACGCAAGAUACUCUCCCCUGGGCACCAGAGGGCCCCUCGAGGACGGACUCCCUCCAAGAGACAGGGACUGAGCUUGGGAAGACGUGAUCCAGGGGCUCUCCCAAUCGGGGCGCAUUCUUUCCCCAUGAAUUGUUAAAGCCACGACCGGAACACGGGAGUGGACCUGCUGAGCGUCCUAACGUGUCUGCUGCAGGACCGAUGCGAACUCAUGGUGGGACCAUCCGGAACAAGGCCAGGCCCAGGCCUCUCCCCUUGGGACGCUCACCCCAUGUCUCCCUGGGGUUCCCUCCACGGUGCUGCCCUCAUCCCUCAAGCUCCUGCCUCCCGCAGUGGACAGUGGCUCUGGCGCACCUGGGCUGUGUCUGUCUCCCUGCCUGGGCUGGGACUGUUCCAGGGCCCCUCAAGGCUGGAAGAAGAGCCUGACCGGCCGCCUAGUCCAGAUGGAGAGACCUCUGGCCCCGAAAGUCAGGACCCCCCAGGAGGCCACUUUCUGGGGGAAGGUGCAGCAGCCACUGGAGAGCUCUGGAUUCGGAAUCCAGGGCCCCUGGGAAGAUGCGGAUGCGGACGAAGACCCAAAAACCAGAAGGAACCCCCGCCAGAGAGCAGGGGAGGGCUCCUCUCUCCAAGGACGCGCGUCAGAGCCCCCGAAGCGCGUCUGGGAGGUCACGUACCGGCUUACUCGUCUAUACCAACAGAGCAGGAGUCGGGCCCCAGGGCUGCGCGGAGAGGGGGAGAGACAGACGGAAGCUCGGUUAGCAAGCGCGCAGCAGCCAGCACAGCCACAGCAAGGGCACCAGCUUGGGGACACGGUCGAGGCCGUCUAGAAACAAACACUCUGCUGCAACCACAGAGAACCACAAGGAGAACCACAGCUGGGAGGCAGAGCGCAGCCAGAAUUCAACGCGGAGGAGCGCACUGGCCCUGCCCCUCCCUCCCAUACCUCCCGCUGCCGCAGCCUAGGGAAGGGCGCAUGAAGGACCUAACGGGCGCAGUCCACCUCUGGUUUCAGGAGUGAAGGCCCUGGGUGGGGGGCUGAGGCUAGACAGGACCGAGCUCAGGGCCAAGUCCAAGACACCAGGGCCCCCAGUGUUCACCAUCUCAUGGGCCCUCCCAUCUACAGGGACAGCAGGGUUCAGUGAUGCCGC
rnacentral:lncRNA from 1 species